CCUACGGGUGGCAGCAGUGGGGAAUAUUGCACAAUGGGGGAAACCCUGAUGCAGCGACGCCGCGUGAGUGAAGAAGUAUUUCGGUACGUAAAGCUCUAUCAGCAGGGAAGAAAAUGACGGUACCUGACUAAGAAGCCCCGGCUAACUACGUGCCAGCAGCCGCGGUAAUACGUAGGGGGCAAGCGUUAUCCGGAUUUACUGGGUGUAAAGGGAGCGUAGACGGCAGCGCAAGUCUGGAGUGAAAUCCCAUGGCUUAACCAUGGAACUGCUUUGGAAACUGUGCAGCGAGAGUGCAGGAGAGGUAAGCGGAAUUCCUAGUGGAGCGGUGAAAUGCGUAGAUAUUAGGAGGAACACCAGUGGCGAAGGCGGCUUACUGGACUGUAACUGACGUUGAGGCUCGAAAGCGUGGGGAGCAAACAGGAUUAGAUACCCGGGUAGUC
rnacentral:rRNA from 1 species